rnacentral:rRNA from 1 species
CCUACGGGGGGCUGCAGUAAGGAAUCUUCCGCAAUGCGCGAAAGCGUGACGGGGCAAUGCCGCGUGCAGGAUGAAGCCCUUCGGGGUGUAAACUGCUGUCAGGGGGCAGGAAUACAAUGACCAUACCCAAAGGAAGCACCGGCUAACUCUGUGCCAGCAGCCGCGGUAAUACAGAGGGUGCGAGCGUUAAUCGGAAUCACUGGGCUUAAAGCGUUCGUAGGCGGAUCUGUAGGCGCGUUGUGAAAGCCCUCGGCUCAACCGGGGAACUGCUUCGCGAACCACAGAUCUUGAGUCAAGUAGGGGCGGUCGGAACGAUAGGUGGAGCGGUGAAAUGCGUAGAUAUCUAUCGGAACGCCGACGGUGAAGACAGGCCGCUGGGCUUGUACUGACGCUGAGGAACGAAAGCGUGGGGAGCAAACGGGAUUAGAUACCCCUGUAGUC